CCCUUAGAUGUUCUGGGCUGCACGCGCGCUACACUGAUGCACUCAACGAGUUUACAACCUUAUCCGGAAGGAUUGGGUAAUCUUUUGAACGUGCAUCGUGAUGGGGAUAGAUUAUUGCAAUUAUUAAUCUUCAACGAGGAAUUCCUAGUAAGCGCAAGUCAUCAGCUUGCGCUGAUUACGUCCCUGCCCUUUGUACACACCGCCCGUCGCUCCUACCGAUUGAAUGGUCCGGUGAAGCGUUCGGACCGUGGCCUUUGGACGGUUCGCCGUCUGUUGGCUGCGGGAAGUUCGUUAAACCUUAUCAUUUAGAGGAAGGAGAANUCGUAACA
rnacentral:rRNA from 1 species